rnacentral:rRNA from 1 species
GUAUAAGAGACAGCAGUCGCCGCGGUAAUACGUAGGGUGCGAGCGUCAAUCGGAAUUACUGGGCGUAAAGCGUGCGCAGGCGGUUUUGUAAGACAGGCGUGAAAUCCCCGGGCUCAACCUGGGAAUGGCGCUUGUGACUGCAAAGCUAGAGUGCGGCAGAGGGGGAUGGAAUUCCGCGUGUAGCAGUGAAAUGCGUAGAUAUGCGGAGGAACACCGAUGGCGAAGGCAAUCCCCUGGGCCUGCACUGACGCUCAUGCACGAAAGCGUGGGGAGCAAACAGGAUUAGAUACCCCUGUAGUCCCUGUCUCUUAUAC